UACGUAGGGUGCGAGCGUUAAUCGGAAUUACUGGGCGUAAAGAGCGCGCAGGCGGCUGGGCAAGUCCGAUGUGAAAGCUCCCGGCUUAACUGGGAAAUUGCAUCGGAAACUGAUCGGCUGGAAGGUGGGAGAGGGUAGCGGAAUUCCCGGUGUAGUGGUGAAAUGCGUAGAUAUCGGGAGGAACACCAGUGGCGAAGGCGGCUACCUGGCCCAUUCUUGACGCUGAGGCGCGAAGGCUAGGGGAGCAAACGGG
rnacentral:rRNA from 1 species